rnacentral:rRNA from 1 species
GACGAACGCUGGCGGCGUGCUUAACACAUGCAAGUCGAACGGAAAGGCCCUGCUUUUGUGGGUUGCUCGAGUGGCGAACGGGUGAGUAACACGUGAGUAACCUGCCCUUGCCUUUGGGUUAACUUCAGGAAACUGGGGCUAAUACCGGAUAGGAGCUCCUGCUGCAUGGUGGGGGUUGGAAAGUUUCGGCGGUUGGGGAUGGACUCGCGGCUUAUCAGCUUGUUGGUGGGGUAGUGGCUUACCAAGGCUUUGACGGGUAGCCGGCCUGAGAGGGUGACCGGCCACAUUGGGACUGAGAUACGGCCCAGACUCCUACGGGAGGCAGCAGUGGGGAAUAUUGCACAAUGGCGGAAGCCUGAUGCAGCAACGCCGCGUGCGGGAUGACGGCCUUCGGGUUGUAAACCGCUUUCGCCUGUGACGAAGCGUGAGUGACGGUAAUGGGUAAAGAAGCACCGGCUAACUACGUG